GAUGAACGCUGGCGGCGUGCUUAAUACAUGCAAGUCGAGCGAACGGACGAGGCGCUUGCGGCUCUGAUGUUAGCGGCGGACGGGUGAGUAACACGUGGAUCACCUACCUAUCAUACUGGGAUAAUUACGGGAAACCGGAGCUAAUACCGGAGGAGAUUCUGAACCGCAUGGUUCAAAGGUGAAAUACGGUGUUGCUGUCACUAAUCGAUGGAUUCCGGCUGCAUGAGCUAGUUGGUAAGGUAACGGCUUACCAAGGCAACGAUGCAUAGCCGACCUGAGGGAGUGGUCGGCGACCCUGGAGCUUAGACGCGGUCCAUACUCCUACGGGAGGCACCAGUAGGGAAUCUUCCGCAGUGGGCGGGAGCAUGACGGAACAACGGGACGUGAGUUAUGGCGGUGUUCGGAGCGUAAUACCGUGUUUUGGGGGGAAAACCUAUGUCUAAGUAGAUGUGCACAUAUUGACGGUACCUGGUCAGGAAGCAACGGCUAACUACGUG
rnacentral:rRNA from 1 species